CAGUAGCCGCGGUAAUACGUAGGGUGCAAGCGUUGUCCGGAAUUAUUGGGCGUAAAGAGCUCGUAGGCGGUCUGUCACGUCGGCUGUGAAAACCUGGGGCUCAACCCCGGGCCUGCAGCCGAUACGGGCAGACUAGAAUUCGGUAGGGGAGACUGGAAUUCCUGGUGUAGCGGUGAAAUGCGCAGAUAUCAGGAGGAACACCGGUGGCGAAGGCGGGUCUCUGGGCCGAUAUUGAUGCUGAGGAGCGAAAGCGUGGGGAGCGAACAGGAUUAGAUACCCGAGUAGUCCCUGUCUCUUAUAC
rnacentral:rRNA from 1 species